rnacentral:rRNA from 1 species
UACGAAGGGGGCUAGCGUUGCUCGGAAUCACUGGGCGUAAAGCGCACGUAGGCGGCUUUUUAAGUCAGGGGUGAAAUCCUGGAGCUCAACUCCAGAACUGCCUUUGAUACUGGGAGCUCGAGUCCGGGAGAGGUGAGUGGAACUCCGAGUGUAGAGGUGAAAUUCGUAGAUAUUCGGAAGAACACCAGUGACGAAGGCGGCUCACUGGCCCGGUACGUGACGCUGAGGUGCGAAAGCGUGGGGAGCAAACAGG